UACGUAGGAUGCAAGCGUUGUCCGGUUUUAUUGGGUUUAAAGGGUGCCUAGGCGGCCUAUUAAGUUAGUGGUGAAAACGUUCGGCUUAACCGGAUACCCGCCAUUGAUACUGAUAGACUUGAGUGCGACAGAGGGUGUUGGAAUGUGUGGUGUAGCGGUGAAAUGCUUAGAUAUCACGCAGAACACCAAUUGCGAAGGCAGAUGCCUAUGUCGUAACUGACGAUGAGGCACGAAAGCGUGGGGAGCAAACAGG
rnacentral:rRNA from 1 species